UUGUCAAAUUAUUAUUAUUGAGUUGUUAUCAACAAACAAAAAACAUGUAAUAUAAACAUAAAUAAUAAUUUAAAAUUUUCCUCAAUUUCUAAAAAUAUCUGUUGAAUUGUGUGAGGUUCAGUCGUUUAGGAACACCCCAAACAACUUAAUAUCGAUACCGCGUAAAGUGACUGUGACAGUGAUCAAGUCCAUAUCUAACUUAGGUGCGGUCGGUAUACAAAAGAUUCAUUUAGUUCUGUGAAUCCCAGAAAGGAGGAGCAAAAAAGGAGAAUGUCCCUUAAAUUCAACGAGGCAAUUGAAAUGCUGAUAGAAAAUCUGUCAGAAACUAUUAAACCUGAACAGGGAACAUAUAUGCAGGAUGCAGCCGAAAUAUCCGAGAAAAUAAAUCAGGAACUUAUCAACAUUAAUUCUAUUUUCAAGGGUACAGUCACCAAAUGGGAUCAGACAUAUAUGUUCGCCUAUAAACCAUACCCCAAAACCAGAGUGCCGAUUUUGUGGGUAGAAAUGCCAUUUGCGAUUGAGCCACAGAAUGUUUACGUUCACCGUGAUCCUGGAUGCCGAUUGUUUAACCUUAAGACGACUGUGAAUCAUCCAGCAGUUGAGAAUGGAUAUGUGAACGGGGAAAAGCUGAUCAAGCUUUUCUACUUUGAUUUGAACAGAGUCGUGGACAGAAUGACGAAUUUUAUUUGUAAAAGCGGAAAAAUGUAUAAACUACGCACUAACCUAUUGCAUAUGCAUCCUUCAUUAUUGUUGUCAAGGAAUAUGGCAGGAAUGGAUUGGAGGAAAACGAGCUAUUGAUUUUGAGUUUAAACUCAUUCUUAAAUUCUCCAACAAUUCUUUCCUAUACACCUACCGUAACGAUUUCUUUAAACAAACCGAAAAACUCGAGGUCGAAGCAGUUGAAAAAAAAAGUCAUCAAAUUGUUAACCAAUGUAAAAAAAUUAUUUCUACAAUUACAAGAUGAAAAUCUAGUUAUGCCAGUUAUAAAUUUUGCAGUCGAUUCUCUUGAUUUUCGUGUAGAAUCCAACACCGGGGAGUAUUUACUUGCGGCACUAUCAAGCAUAAUUCCGAUCAUCCCAAAACGCGGUCGCUUCGUAUGCAUCUUGGGAAAUUGAUGCAGUUCAAAGAAUCGGACUCCGUUACAAUGCCAGAGCUAAAGGCUCUUUUUGGUCUGCCUUAAAUAUUUGAUCGAAUUUCAAGAAAGAUUUGGAUAAAACCACUUUCGGACGUUGUUUAUUCUACAGAAAAGAAUAAUGAACAAUACUUAAACUCCUUAUUGCACGAAACCAACCAGCACGUCAUGGUCAAGUUAAAGACAACUUUUACAUAUAAAU